GGGGGUGUAGCUCAGCGGGAGAGCAGGUCCUUUGCAAGGACAAGGUCGGGGGUUCAAAUCCCUUCACCUCCACCA
rnacentral:tRNA from 1 species